UACGUAGGGUGCAAGCGUUAUCCGGAAUUAUUGGGCGUAAAGAGCUCGUAGGCGGUUUGUCGCGUCUGCUGUGAAAACUGGAGGCUCAACCUCCAGCCUGCAGUGGGUACGGGCAGACUAGAGUGCGGUAGGGGAGAUUGGAAUUCCUGGUGUAGCGGUGGAAUGCGCAGAUAUCAGGAGGAACACCAAUGGCGAAGGCAGAUCUCUGGGCCGUAACUGACGCUGAGGAGCGAAAGCAUGGGGA
rnacentral:rRNA from 1 species